rnacentral:rRNA from 1 species
UACAGGGGAUGCAAGUGUUAUCCGGAAUUAUUGGGCGUAAAGGGAGCGUAGGUGGAUAUUUAAGUGGGAUGUGAAAUACUCGGGCUCAACCUGAGUGCUGCAUUCCAAACUGGAUAUCUAGAGUACAGGAGAGGAAAGUAGAAUUCCUAGUGUAGCGGUGAAAUGCGUAGAGAUUAGGAAGAAUACCAGUGGCGAAGGCGACUUUCUGGACUGUAACUGACACUGAGGCUCGAAAGCGUGGGGAGCAAACAGG